CGGGUGCACUGAUCCAGCCGGGCCUUUCCCUCUGUGGAACCCCAUGGCCUUCACUGGCUGUGGUGGGGAAACAGGACUUUUACUUUGAAAAAAUUAGAGUGCUCCAGGCAGGCCUAUGCUCGAAUACAUUAGCAUGGAAUAAUAGAAUAGGACGUGUGGUUCUAUUUUGUUGGUUUCUAGGACCGCCGUAAUGAUUAAUAGGGACAGUCGGGGGCGUCAGUAUUCAAUUGUCAGAGGUGAAAUUCUUGGAUCUAUUGAAGACUAACUACUGCGAAAGCAUUUGCCAAGGAUGUUUUCAUUGAUAAGGAACGAAAGUUAGGGGAUCGAAGACGAUCAGAUACCGUCGUAGUCUUAACUAUAAACUAUGCCGACUAGGGAUCGGACGAUGUUAUUCUUUGACGCGUUCGGCACCUUUCGAGAAAUCAAAGUGCUUGGGCUCCAGGGGGAGUAUGGUCGCAAGGCUGAAACUUAAAGAAAUUGACGGAAGGGCACCACCAGGGGUGGAACCUGCGGCUUAAUUUGACUCAACACGGGGAAACUCACCAGGUCCAGACACAGUGAGGAUUGACAGAUUGAGAGCUCUUUCUUGAUUCUGUGGGUGGUGGUGCAUGGCCGUUCUUAGUUGGUGGAGUGAUUUGUCUGCUUAAUUGCGAUAACGAACGAGACCUUAACCUGCUAAAUAGCCCGUACUGCUUUGGCAGUUCGCCGGCUUCUUAGAGGGACUAUCGG
rnacentral:rRNA from 1 species